rnacentral:rRNA from 1 species
AAACUCAAAUGAAUUGACGGGGACCCGCACAAGCAGCGGAGCAUGUGGUUUAAUUCGAAGCAACGCGAAGAACCUUACCAAGGUUUGACAUCCCCUUGACAGAAGCAGAGAUGUUUCCUCCCCUUCGGGGGCAAGGGAGACAGGUGGUGCAUGGUUGUCGUCAGCUCGUGUCGUGAGAUGUUGGGUUAAGUCCCGCAACGAGCGCAACCCUUAUCCUUAGUUGCCAGCAGGUUAAGCUGGGCACUCUAAGGAGACUGCCGGUGAUAAACCGGAGGAAGGUGGGGAUGACGUCAAAUCAUCAUGCCCCUUAUAUCUUGGGCUACACACGUGCUACAAUGGUCGGUACAAAGGGAAGCGAAAGAGUGAUCUGGAGCAAAUCUUCAUAAACCGAUCCCAGUUCGGAUUGUAGGCUGCAACUCGCCUACAUGAAGUUGGAGUUGCUAGUAAUCGCGAAUCAGAACGUCGCGGUGAAUGCGUUCCCGGGUCUUGUACACACCGCCCGUCACACCAUGGAAGUUGGUAAUACCCAAAGUCGCUGAGCUAACCGCAAGGGGGCAGGCGCCUAAGGUAGGAUUAAUGACUGGGGUGAAGUCGUAACAAGGUAGCCGUAUCGGAAGGUGCGGCUGGAUCACCUCCUUUAU